rnacentral:rRNA from 1 species
AUGGCGCUCUCCGGGAUGCGGGGGCUGUCGGUCUUCAUCAGCGACAUCCGCAACUGCCACAACAAGGAGCAGGAGCGCCUCCGCGUCGACAAGGAGCUCGGCAACAUCCGCACCCGCUUCAAGAACGAAAAGGGAUUGUCGCAUUACGAGAAGAAAAAGUAUGUUUGGAAAAUGCUUUAUAUACAUAUGCUGGGUUACGAUGUUGAUUUUGGACAUAUGGAAACUGUUUCUUUGAUAUCCGCGCCGAAGUAUCCUGAGAAACAGGUUGGAUACAUCGUGACAUCUUGUUUACUUAACGAGAAUAACGAUUUUCUAAGGAUGGUCAUAAAUACAGUACGCAAUGACAUAAUAGGACGAAAUGAGACUUAUCAGUGCUUAGCAUUGACGAUGGUAGGUAAUAUUGGUGGGAAAGAAUUUUCUGAGUCAUUGGCCCCUGAUGUCCAGAAACUUCUUAUUUCAAGCAGCUGCCGGCCUGUAGUCAGAAAGAAGGCUGCUCUAUGCCUUCUGCGACUUUAUAGGAAGAACCCAGAUGUUGUGAAUAUCGAUGGCUGGUCUGAUCGGAUGGCACAACUUCUAGAUGAGCGUGAUCUAGGUGUGCUGACAUCUGUCAUGAGCCUUUUUGUCUCACUAGUAUCUAAUAAUGCUGAAGCAUAUUGGAAUUGCCUUCCAAAGUGUGUAAGAAUAUUGGAGAGGAUGGCAAGAAACCAAGAUAUUCCCCAAGAAUACACCUACUAUGGAAUUCCAUCUCCUUGGCUUCAGGUUAAGGCAAUGAGAGCUCUUCAGUACUUCCCUACCAUUGAAGAUCCUAGUGCAAGGCGAGCUUUGUUUGAGGUUUUACAGCGUAUUUUGAUGGGUACUGAUGUCGUUAAAAACGUCAACAAGAAUAAUGCCUCACAUGCUGUCCUCUUUGAAGCUCUUGCUCUGGUAAUGCAUCUUGAUGCUGAAAAGGAGAUGAUGUCCCAAUGCGUGGCUCUUCUCGGCAAGUUUAUUGCUGUCAGGGAGCCCAAUAUUAGGUAUCUUGGUCUGGAGAACAUGAGUAGAAUGCUGUUAGUAACAGAUGUACAGGAUAUAAUAAAAAGGCACCAGGCUCAGAUCAUUACGUCUUUGAAGGAUCCAGAUAUCAGCAUUAGAAGGCGGGCUCUUGAUUUGCUGUAUGGCAUGUGUGAUGUUACAAAUGCAAAGGAAAUUGUUGAGGAGUUGUUGCAGUAUCUUAACACAGCUGAAUUUGCAAUGCGUGAAGAGCUGGCUCUGAAGGCAGCCAUUCUUGCAGAGAAGUUUGCUCCAAAUCUUUCAUGGUAUGUUGAUGUUAUACUUCAGUUGAUAGACAAAGCGGGAGAUUUUGUAAGUGAUGAUAUAUGGUAUCGAGUGGUGCAAUUUGUCACCAACAAUGAGGAUCUUCAGGCAUAUGCUGCAGCUAAGGCGAGGGAAUACCUUGACAAGCCUGCUUUGCAUGAGACCAUGGUCAAGGUCAGUGCUUACCUUCUUGGAGAGUAUGGCCACCUUUUGGCCCAAAGACCUAGUUGUAGCCCCAAGGAGUUGUUUACCAUUAUAAAUGACAGGCUUCCAACAGUAUCGUCAAGUACUGUUGCCAUUAUUAUCUCAGCCUAUGCCAAGAUACUUAUGCACACUCAGCCUCCUGAUGCGGGACUGCAGCAACAAAUCCUGACAAUAUUUAAAAAGCAUGAAAGUUAUAUCGAUGUUGAAAUUCAGCAGAGAGCAGUUGAAUAUUUUGAACUAAGCAGAAAGGGUCCUGCUUUGGCUGAUGUAUUGGCUGAAAUGCCAAAAUUUCCUGAACGUGAGUCUGCUCUGUUGAAAAAGGCUGAAGAUGCUGAAGUUGACACAGCAGAGCAGAGUGCCAUAAAACUACGAAGUCAGCAACAAUCAUCCAGUGCUAUUGUUGUAGCUGCUCAGCCCCCUGUAAACGGACCAGCACCAGCUGCUAAUCAUCUAACUCUUGUGAAGAUGCCAAGUCAAAACAUUGCUGAAGAGAGCAAUGUCAGUCAUGAAGAAACAGCGGUAGAAGCUCCAAAAGAAAAUGGUGCUCCCGUCGAAGUUCAGAGAAAUGUCGAGAUCAUCACUGAGCCCGCUCCUGUUAGUAAAGUUGAGCCUCCUGCAUCUCGUCCUGCUUCUCAAGCAGACCUCCUUGCAGACCUUUUGGGCCCUCUUGCAAUAGAGGGUCCUCCUGCUGCUGUAGAGCAAAUUCCUGCUCAAGGAUUGGAGGCUAAUCAAAGUCCAGUAGGUGACUUGGCACUAGCUACCCUUGAGGACCAGUCCAACUCUGUUCAGCCAAUUGUCAAUGUGGAGGAGAAGUUUAAUAUAUUGUGCACGAAAGAUAGUGGAGUUCUGUAUGAGGAUCCUAACAUCCAGAUUGGUUUAAAAGCAGAGUGGCGGGCCCAUCAUGGUCGUCUUAUUCUUUUCCUGGGGAAUAAAAAUACUUCGCCCCUUUUGUCAUUGAGGGCUUUGAUUUUGCCUCCUAGCCAUUUUAAAGUGGAACUCUCGUCAGUACCUGAUACUAUUCCUCCUAGAGCACAGGUGCAAAUCCCAGUCGAGGUUACAAAUCUCCGCGCGAGUAGAGAUGUUGCUGUUCUUGAUUUCUCAUAUAAACAUGGAGCUGCACUGGUGAACGCUAAACUUCGACUUCCUAUUGUGUUGCAUAAAUUCUUGCAACCUAUAACUCUUUCCCCUGAAGAUUUUUUCGCCCAUUGGAAAACAUGGAAUGUUCAGUCACCCAAGGUUCAAGAAGUGGUUAGAGGUGUAAAACCAUUACCUAUUCCUGAGAUGGCUAGCCUUCUCUUGAGCCUUCACCUGGCAGUUACUCCUGGACUUGAUACCAACCCGAACAACAUGGUGGCGUGUGCUACAUUCUUUUCGGAAACAACCAAUGCCGCGCUUUGUCUGGUGAGAGUUGAAACAGAUCCCCAAGACAGAAGUCAGCUCCGGCUAACAGUUGCAUCAGGAGAUCAAAACCUGACAUUCGAGUUGAAGGAGUAUAUCAAGGAACAUUUGAUCGACAUCCCGAGGGCUCGAGUGGCCCCCCCUCCCACUCCACAACAACCACAGCUGCCUCCAGCAGCGGUGCCGGCGACAACAUAUAACGACCCUGGUGCCAUGCUAGCUGGGUUGCUAUGA